UACAGAGGGUGCGAGCGUUAAUCGGAAUUACUGGGCGUAAAGCGCGCGUAGGCGGCUUUGCAAGUCGGGUGUGAAAUCCCCAGGCUUAACCUGGGAACUGCAUUCGAGACUGCAUUGCUAGAGUAUGGGAGAGGGAAGUGGAAUUUCCGGUGUAGCGGUGAAAUGCGUAGAUAUCGGAAGGAACAUCAGUGGCGAAAGCGACUUCCUGGACCAAUACUGACGCUCAUGUGCGAAAGUGCGGGGAGCAAACAGG
rnacentral:rRNA from 1 species